UACGUAGGGGGCAAGCGUUGUCCGGAGUUAUUGGGCGUAAAGAGCUCGUAGGCGGUCUGUUGCGUCCGCUGUGAAAACUCGGGGCUUAACCCCGAGCCUGCAGUGGAUACGGGCAGACUAGAGGUAGGUAGGGGAGAAUGGAAUUCCCGGUGUAGCGGUGAAAUGCGCAGAUAUCGGGAGGAACACCGGUGGCGAAGGCGGUUCUCUGGGCCUUACCUGACGCUGAGGAGCGAAAGCGUGGGGAGCGAACAGG
rnacentral:rRNA from 1 species